rnacentral:lncRNA from 1 species
GUCUUUUUUUUCUGUUUUUUUUUUUUUUCUUUUUUUUUUUUUUUUAAUUUUCAUUAGUUAAAAAUAUUCUGUAGAAGGAUGACUCUUUUGCAGGAGUCUGCCCUGCAAGCAAGGAUAGCCCCAAAGACGGAGCGGCAGUGGCUCUGGACCCCACCAAAACAAAACUGCCUGAUGUGGCAUGUGCUUCUCUCUCUUUGCAGUUCCCUCUGGGCCUGUGUGGACUAGGAGCACAACCUGGCGUCUGACUGGCAGGAGAGGAAAGCAGAGACUCCUUCAGGUUUCCAAAGAGGUCCGAGUGGACUGCAUUAAUUAUACACAGAUUCUUGAAGUCCAAACGGUUAUGCUUCUAAUUGUACACAACCUGCAGAAUCAAGCCGUGGGUUUUCCUCCUGCCCUAGCAGUAUCCUGGUGCCUCAGAGGCAGGGCACCAGGGCACUGCAAAGCUGAUGAAUUGUUUAAACUCACACUAUUAUUCCCUUAUUUGCUGCUUUGGUCGGUCACGUUUUUCUAUUUAUUGGAAAGGUGGACCUAAAGAUUCAUGCAAUAUAAUUAUGCUGAGAUGAGAUGUGUUUUUUGUUUAUUUGUUUUUAUGUUGUUGACAUCUUGACCAUUAUGCAACUGUUAAAGAUUACUGGCAACAAUGUUUUCUUCUGAGGUCAGUCCUAUUGAUUUUGGAGCAUAAGCAGAACUGAUGUGAUAAAUCUUGUGGUAAUAAUUCUAUUCAGAUUUAAUUUUUAAACUUUUUUUUUUCCCUGAAGCAAAUGAGGUUAAGAUACAUGAAUAUGCAUUUGCUGUGGUUAUUUGGAUAUUAUAAUUAAAUGAUCACUGCAUAAGAUACCCUAAGUGUUCUGCUUGAUAAGGAGUAUUGGGAAUAGUGUGCACCAGGGACUGCUCCUACAGAUGGAGGUCUCUGUCUGAAACUUGUCCGUCAGGGUUUAGAAAGGUAAGAGAAUAGCCUCUGUUUGCGGCCCAUACAUUUUUAAAUGAUAAUAAACAGAAGAUGAACUGAUCUUCA